CAGUCGCCGCGGGAAUACGUAGGUGGCAAGCGUUGUCCGGAAUUAUUGGGCGUAAAGGGCUCGCAGGCGGUUUCUUAAGUCUGAUGUGAAAGCCCCCGGCUCAACCGGGGAGGGCCAUUGGAAACUGGGAAACUUGAGUGCAGAAGAGGAGAGUGGAAUUCCGCGUGUAGCGGUGAAAUGCGUAGAGAUGUGGAGGAACACCAGUGGCGAAGGCGACUCUCUGGUCUGUAACUGACGCUGAGGAGCGAAAGCGUGGGGAGCGAACAGGAUUAGAUACCCGCGUAGUCCCUGUCUCUUAUAC
rnacentral:rRNA from 1 species